rnacentral:rRNA from 1 species
GACGAACGCUGGCGGCGUGCUUAACACAUGCAAGUCGAGCGGUAAGGCCCCUUCGGGGUACGACGAGCGGCGAACGGGUGAGUAACACGUGGGUGACCUGCCCUCCAGCUCUGGGAUAAGCCUGGGAAACGUGGGUCUAAUACCGGAUAUGACUCCAUGACGCAUGUCGGUGGGGUGGAAAGCCUUGUGCGGCUGGGGAUGGGCCCGCGGCCUAUCAGCUUGUUGGUGGGGUGAUGGCCUACCAAGGCGACGACGGGUAGCCGGCCUGAGAGGGCGACCGGCCACACUGGGACUGAGACACGGCCCAGACUCCUACGGGAGGCAGCAGUGGGGAAUCUUGCGCAAUGGGCGAAAGCCUGACGCAGCGACGCCGCGUGAGGGAUGACGGCCU